AAUAAGUGUAGUUUUAGCACUAUUCAUAUUUAACGUUUGACCGUUUGUCUUAUUUGAAAAAAAAAUUAUAAUUAGUAUUUUUAUUGUUAUUAUAUGAUAAAACAUGAAUAGUACUUUAUUUGUGACUAAUUUUUUUAAUAUUUUUUAUAAAUUUUUCAAAUAAGACGGAUAGUAAAAACGCUAAAUACGGAUAUUUAUAGAUACACUUAUU
rfam:Oryza rufipogon genomic scaffold, chr03